rnacentral:rRNA from 1 species
GAUGAACGCUGGCGGCGUGCCUAAUACAUGCAAGUCGAGCGAACAGACGAGGAGCUUGCUCCUCUGACGUUAGCGGCGGACGGGUGAGUAACACGUGGAUAACCUACCUAUAAGACUGGGAUAACUUCGGGAAACCGGAGCUAAUACCGGAUAACAUGUUGAACCGCAUGGUUCAACAGUGAAAGACGGUCUUGCUGUCACUUAUAGAUGGAUCCGCGCCGCAUUAGCUAGUUGGUAAGGUAACAGCUUACCAAGGCAACGAUGCGUAGCCGACCUGAGAGGGUGAUCGGCCACACUGGAACUGAGACACGGUCCAGACUCCUACGGGAGGCAGCAGUAGGGAAUCUUCCGCAAUGGGCGAAAGCCUGACGGAGCAACGCCGCGUGAGUGAUGAAGGUCUUCGGAUCGUAAAACUCUGUUAUUAGGGAAGAACAAAUGUGUAAGUAACUAUGCACGUCUUGACGGUACCUAAUCAGAAAGCCACGGCUAACUACGUG